CUGGUGGAGCAAGUGUCAGCUGCUGGGACAAGUCCAGCAUUCCAAAACAGAUUUCACCACAACAUUUAGCCAGAAAUACAAAUAAUCAGAUUCCAAAUUUAAGAUGCAUCAAUUGUACUACUAUAAACAAUGGAAUACCUAACGAUUUCUCUUUCUUUCUUUAUGUCUGUCUCCCUCAUUUGAAAGAACCCCGUGGUGUUCUGACAGUCCAAGAAAAGUGAAUUUCAUAGAGCCCAUGCACAUAUCAUUAGAGCGUUAAAAGAAGCGAGCCUGGUGCCACGGGUCUCCUCCUGUGCUGCCUUCCCUCUAAACGUGUGACACUGGCUGGCUGAGAGCAUGAGAACGGAGCCUUUUGAAUAGCAGGAUCCUCAUACUUGGCUAGUAACCAUGGAAGCAGAUGCCUACUCUCUUUGCCCUCCUUACCUCCUUGCUCCCUCAUUGAAAAGAGGGCACGCCUCGCUUUCUUCUUCCUGACCGAACUUGCCUGGCCCUCAAAGGGAGCGAUUGAGCAGGUCACUGGUCUAGACUUGUUUGCAUGGUCCACGGAACAGCCUUGAGGUAACCCUUGCUCCCCGUGCGUCGCACCACCGCAGACUGCAGAGGGGGCAUCGGAGAUGUGAAUUUGAAAAGGAGCUCCGUCCGAUUUUGCCUUUGUGCCUUUUCCCUCAUCGAUCGGCUGAAUAUCGAACCCUCAGUCUGUGCAUGUGUGAAACGGAUAGCUUAGUAAGCAUUUUUUCUAAUCAAGCUUGCGUUGUGGGCCAACUCUCUCGUUUUUCUCUCUCUUACUUAGCCGCUCUCUCUCCCUCCCCUCUCUCCCUCUCUCUCUCUCUCUCUCCGUCUGUCCCUCUUUCUCCAUUUCUCUCUCACUGUUUAUUUUCUCCAUUUCUCUCUCUCUUUCUAUUUUCCUCUUUCUGCAUUUUCUCUCUUUCUGCUUUUCCUUCCUCUUCUACACUUCUCUUUUGAUAAUCUGGGACAUUUGGAUAAGCAUGUUGUGAUGCUUCUGAUCAAUGUCAAUUUUUUUUCUAUCUGUUAUUGAUCCUGAAGUGAUUUCAGCUUUGUGUUACCCGAGGAUUUUGCAUGCUGUUACAACUGUUUGCUUUUUCAAUUUCAACUGGGAUGACCACUAACCACAGAGGGACUUUUUAAACUAUUUAGACAAAAAUACUGGCAAAUGCACUGCUUUUGUUUCCAUUCCAUCUUCCAAGAUGUAUGGAUGACAGUUUCCUCUUUUUUUAAAAACAAAUAACAUAUUAAAAACUGAUGUAUCGUGAGGUGAGUAUAAUUAUGUUUUCGUAUAUUAGAGUUGGUAUAAUCAGCUGAUGUAAAA